UACAGAGGCGCCAAGCGUUAGGCGGAAUCACUGGGCUUAAAGCGCGUGUAGGUGGACGGGUAAGUAUCUUGUGAAAUCCCACGGCUCAACCGUGGAACUGCUGGAUAUACUGCUUGUCUUGAGGCACUUAGGGGCAGCUGGAACAAAUGGUGGAGCGGUGAAAUGCGUAGAUAUCAUUUGGAACGCCAAAGGCGAAAGCAGGCUGCUGGGAGUGAUCUGACACUGAGACGCGAAAGCCAGGGGAGCAAACGGG
rnacentral:rRNA from 1 species